rnacentral:rRNA from 1 species
CUACGGGUUGCUGCCGUGAGGAAUAUUGCACAAUGGGGGGAACCCUGAUGCAGCAACGCCGCGUGGAGGAUGACGCAUUUCGGUGUGUAAACUCCUUUUAUAUGUCAAGAAAAUGACGGUAGCAUAUGAAUAAGCACCGGCUAACUCCGUGCCAGCAGCCGCGGUAAUACGGAGUGGUGCAAGCGUUACUCGGAAUCACUGGGCGUAAAGGACGCGUAGGCGGGUUGUCAAGUCAGGUGUGAAAUCCUACAGCUUAACUGUAGAACUGCACUUGAAACUGGCAGCCUAGAGUAUGGGAGGGGGAGAUGGAAUUAGUAGUGUAGGGGUAAAAUCCGUAGAUAUUACUAGGAAUAUCAAAAGCGAAGGCGAUCUCCUGGAACAUUACUGACGCUAAUGCGUGAAAGCGUGGGGAGCAAACAGGAUUAGAUACCCUUGUAGUC